rnacentral:rRNA from 1 species
CUCAGGAUGAACGCUAGCUACAGGCUUAACACAUGCAAGUCGAGGGGAAACGACAUCGAAAGCUUGCUUUUGAUGGGCGUCGACCGGCGCACGGGUGAGUAACGCGUAUCCAACCUGCCCACCACUUGGGGAUAACCUUGCGAAAGUAAGACUAAUACCCAAUGACGUCUCUAGAAGACAUCUGAAAGAGAUUAAAGAUUUAUCGGUGAUGGAUGGGGAUGCGUCUGAUUAGCUUGUUGGCGGGGUAACGGCCCACCAAGGCGACGAUCAGUAGGGGUUCUGAGAGGAAGGUCCCCCACAUUGGAACUGAGACACGGUCCAAACUCCUACGGGAGGCAGCAGUGAGGAAUAUUGGUCAAUGGGCGAGAGCCUGAACCAGCCAAGUAGCGUGCAGGAUGACGGCCCUAUGGGUUGUAAACUGCAUUUAUAAGGGAAUAAAGUGAGUCUCGUGAGACUUUUUGCAUGUACCUUAUGAAUAAGGACCGGCUAAUUCCGUGCCAGCAGCCGCGGUAAUACGGAAGGUCCGGGCGUUAUCCGGAUUUAU